GGGGAAUAUUGCGCAAUGGGGGAAACCCUGACGCAGCGACGCCGCGUGAGCGAAGAAGGCCUUAGGGUCGUAAAGCUCUGUUAUAAGGGACGAAGGUUACCAUGGUUAAUACCCGUGGUAAGUGACGGUACCUUAUGAGUAAGCCCCGGCUAACUACGUGCCAGCAGCCGCGGUAAGACGUAGGGGGCGAGCGUUGUCCGGAAUUACUGGGCGUAAAGAGCACGUAGGCGGGAAUUUAAGUCAGGUGUGAAAGACCGCAGCUUAACUGCGGGGUUGCACUUGAAACUGGAUUUCUUGAGGGCAGGAGAGGAAAGCAGAAUUCCUGGUGUAGCGGUGAAAUGCGUAGAAAUCAGGAGGAAUACCAGUGGCGAAGGCGGCUUUCUGGACUGACCCUGACGCUGAGGUGCGAAAGCGUGGGUAGCAAAC
rnacentral:rRNA from 1 species